AGAGUUUUGAUCCUGGCUCAGAGUGAACGCUGGCGGCAGGCCUAACACAUGCAAGUCGAACGAACUCUUCGGAGUUAGUGGCGGACGGGUGAGUAACACGUGGGAACGUGCCUUUAGGUUCGGAAUAACUCAGGGAAACUUGUGCUAAUACCGAAUGUGCCCUUCGGGGGAAAGAUUUAUCGCCUUUAGAGCGGCCCGCGUCUGAUUAGCUAGUUGGUGAGGUAAAGGCUCACCAAGGCGACGAUCAGUAGCUGGUCUGAGAGGAUGAUCAGCCACAUUGGGACUGAGACACGGCCCAAACUCCUACGGGAGGCAGCAGUGGGGAAUCUUGCGCAAUGGGCGAAAGCCUGACGCAGCCAUGCCGCGUGAAUGAUGAAGGUCUUAGGAUUGUAAAAUUCUUUCACCGGGGACGAUAAUGACGGUACCCGGAGAAGAAGCCCCGGCUAACUUCGUGCCAGCAGCCGCGGUAAUACGAAGGGGGCUAGCGUUGCUCGGAAUUACUGGGCGUAAAGGGAGCGUAGGCGGACAUUUAAGUCAGGGGUGAAAUCCCGGGGCUCAACCUCGGAAUUGCCUUUGAUACUGGGUGUCUUGAGUAUGAGAGAGGUAUGUGGAACUCCGAGUGUAGAGGUGAAAUUCGUAGAUAUUCGGAAGAACACCAGUGGCGAAGGCGACAUACUGGCUCAUUACUGACGCUGAGGCUCGAAAGCGUGGGGAGCAAACAGGAUUAGAUACCCUGGUAGUCCACGCCGUAAACGAUGAUUGCUAGUUGUCGGGAUGCAUGCAUUUCGGUGACGCAGCUAACGCAUUAAGCAAUCCGCCUGGGGAGUACGGUCGCAAGAUUAAAACUCAAAGGAAUUGACGG
rnacentral:rRNA from 1 species